UACGUAGGGGGCAAGCGUUGUCCGGAUUUAUUGGGCGUAAAGAGCGUGUAGGCGGCCAUACAGGUCAGCUGUGAAAACUCGAGGCUCAACCUCGAGACGUCGGUUGAAACCGUUUGGCUAGAGUCCGGAAGAGGAGAGUGGAAGUUCCCGGUGUAGCGGUGAAAUGCGCAGAUAUCGGGAAGAACACCCGUGGCGAAGGCGGCUCUCUGGGACGGUACUGACGCUGAGAAGCGAAAGCAUGGGGAGCGAACGAGG
rnacentral:rRNA from 1 species